rnacentral:rRNA from 1 species
UACGGGGGGGGCAAGCGUUGUUCGGAAUUACUGGGCGUAAGGGGCUCGUAGGCGGCCAACUAAGUCAGACGUGAAAUCCCUCGGCUUAACCGGGGAACUGCGUCUGAUACUGGAUGGCUUGAGUGUGGGAGAGGGAUGCGGAAUUCCAGGUGUAGCGGUGAAAUGCGUAGAUAUCUGGAGGAAUACCGGUGGCGAAGGCGGCAUCCUGGACCAUUACUGACGCUGAGGCGCGAAAGCUAGGGGAGCAAACGGG